AGGCCAUUGUUAUUUAGCCAAGGAUGACUUGCCGGCAGCUUUGUAUCUAACUUCACUCCUUUUGUAUUAUUAUGGAGAUUAUAUAUUCAUUAUUUAUAAGAACCAUAUAUCUGUAUAGUUUUAGUUUAUAUGUAUGCUACUUCAUAAAAUAAAAGAAAGUAUUUUACACAUCUAUAUGAGUGUUGGUGGUGGGAUGUGACAAUUGAAGCGAGCCCGGCAAGUUAUCUCUGGCUAUGCAACUGCCUCU
rfam:Arabis alpina cultivar Pajares Aa.chr8_contig_4060, whole genome shotgun sequence.